AAUACAGAGGUCCCAAGCGUUGUUCGGAUUCACUGGGCGUAAAGGGUGCGUAGGCGGUCGGGUAAGUCUGACGUGAAAUCUUCAAGCUCAACUUGGAAACUGCGUCGGAUACUAUUCGGCUAGAGGAAUGGAGGGGAGACUGGAAUACUUGGUGUAGCAGUGAAAUGCGUAGAUAUCAAGUGGAACACCAGUGGCGAAGGCGAGUCUCUGGACAUUCCCUGACGCUGAGGCACGAAAGCCAGGGGAGCAAACGGGA
rnacentral:rRNA from 1 species